AAAAGGUGGCUAUGCUACCGCUUUUGGAUGGGCCCGCGGCGCAUUAGCUAGUUGGUGGGGUAAAGGCUUACCAAGGCAAUGAUGCGUAGCCGAACUGAGAGGUUGAUCGGCCACAUUGGGACUGAGACACGGCCCAAACUCCUACGGGAGGCAGCAGUAGGGAAUCUUCCACAAUGGGCGAAAGCCUGAUGGAGCAACGCCGCGUGGGUGAAGAAGGUCUUCGGAUCGUAAAACCCUGUUGUUAGAGAAGAAAGUGCGUGAGAGUAACUGUUCACGUUUCGACGGUAUCUAACCAGAAAGCCACGGCUAACUACGUGCCAGCAGCCGCGGUAAUACGUAGGUGGCAAGCGUUAUCCGGAUUUAUUGGGCGUAAAGGGAACGCAGGCGGUCUUUUAAGUCUGAUGUGAAAGCCUUCGGCUUAACCGGAGUAGUGCAUUGGAAACUGGGAGACUUGAGUGCAGAAGAGGAGAGUGGAACUCCAUGUGUAGCGGUGAAAUGCGUAGAUAUAUGGAAGAACACCAGUGGCGAAAGCGACUCUCUGGUCUGUAACUGACGCUGAGGUUCGAAAGCGUGGGUAGCAGACAGGAUUAGAUACCCUGGUAGUCCACGCCGUAAACGAUGAAUGCUAAGUGUUGGAGGGUUUCCGCCCUUCA
rnacentral:rRNA from 1 species